CGGGAUAUGGCGCAGCCUGGUAGCGCGCACCCUUGGGGUGGGUGAGGUCGUGGGUUCAAAUCCCGCUAUUCCGA
rnacentral:tRNA from 1 species